AAACGGCAACGUUGUUGGGUGAAAAGAACUUGUCUGGACUUGUCUGGAAUCGCCUGAGCGAAAUCGGCAUCUCGAAAAGACUCAAACAACCCACGAAGGCUACACUACAACAAAGUUUUAUCGACUACUGAGGCACUAGAAGACGCUUGUGUUACUUUACUUUCAAAAGUGAAUUACUGAAUUUAGCAGACAUCUACCAUGGCUGGAGUUUCUGUCUGUGAUCGAGCUUUCAAAAGGCCUAGGUUAGAUGAAAGUGAUUUCUUUGAAAGCAGUAGCUGUGCCAGUGAUGAGUCUUGUCACACUUGGCAGGGCUAUGAAACAGCUUGGGUCCAGGACUCGGGAGACAAUUGGUCUCCAUCAUCUAGUGAGCCGGAGUCUGACGGUGAUGCUACUGAUGUCAUUUAUGAAGUUGAAUAUGAAAUUGCAACCGACUCCUCCAGUGAUGACCUAGAUGAUGAAGAAUCCGGUUCUUCUGAUAUUGAUGCUGCUCUUAUUCCAAUAAUUGCUGCUCAACUAGAGGAAGAAUGUUUAACUGACAUUGAAAGUUCUGAUGAUGAUGGAAUAAUUAGAAACAGUCCAAUUCCAGUACCUUCCCUGGAAGACAGAUGGAAAUGCCUUCGAUGUGGCGUUCAUAAUGUUCCACCCAUGCGAUAUUGCCACAAAUGCUACGAGAUCAGAAAAGGUUGGUUAGAUCCCAGGCCGAAGCGACGAAGAGCUAAAAGACCUCGUGGUGAGAGCGGCAGCCUGGACCAAAAUCCUUCCGGUUCCUCAGUAUCUUCGGUUGCCUCGUCAGUGCGAGUACGAGAAGAAUCUUUGAUUUCCUCUCAAACUAGUGUAGAUAGUGGUGUCAUGUCACAAAGUUCUUCUUAUGAAGAAGAGCAACAUCUGCUUCCCGGAGCCAGCCACAUUGAUGAUCGGAAGCCGCCGUGCAGCUGCUCCGACUUGUGCGGACUCUGCGGCUUGCGACCUGUCGACGGAGCAUUCAUGCACGGUAACACUGGCCAUCAACUCUACUGUUACUCUUGUAGCAAACGUGUCUGGCGUCAGAGGAAAAAAUGUCCCAUGUGCCGACGGACUAUUGGUAAAGUAGUAAAAAUGUUUCGAGUAUCCAGCUGACAACAAUGAUAGCUAUCGUCGAACUAGUACAUAGAAUAAUUCUUUGAACGGUUGUAAAUGUUGAGAUGGUAACAUUCAUUUGGAAUCAUCUGGGGUUAUACAUAUUAUUUUCCAAACAUUUUCUAAUCAUUGUCACUUGUUGGUCGGUGUAACUGUCCUCUUGCUUAGCUUCAGUUUCUUGCUGCUUCCGAUUCGUCUGUUGAACAUCCAACUAAUUUCAAGGGGAGCGGGAAAUCAAUACAUGAGUUGUCUUGACAGACGAAUCUUGAGAGCCAUUAAACGUUCCGGUUGAUUGCUGUGACGCAUACACACAUACGAAUCUAGUAAUUCCACUGCCACCUUUUCCCUAUGUAAGGCGGAUUUAAAGACGAACGAAAACUGAAUAUACAAUCAAUUAUC